GAGUUUGAUCAUGGCUCAGGACGAACGCUGGCGGCGUGCCUAACACAUGCAAGUCGAGCGAAGUAGGAUGUGUUCUUCGGAAUGCGUUCUACUUAGCGGCGGACGGGUGAGUAACGCGUGAGGAACCUGCCUCUCACAGAGGGAUAGCCUCGGGAAACUGAGGGUAAUACCUCAUGAGACUUAUAUACCGCAUGGUAUGUAAGUUAAAGCGAUUUAGCGGUGAGAGAUGGCCUCGCGUCCCAUUAGCUAGUUGGUGAGGUAACGGCUCACCAAGGCGACGAUGGGUAGCCGGCCUGAGAGGGUGGACGGCCACACUGGAACUGAGACACGGUCCAGACUCCUACGGGAGGCAGCAGUGGGGGAUAUUGCACAAUGGGGGAAACCCUGAUGCAGCGACGCCGCGUGAGCGAAGAAGGCCUUCGGGUCGUAAAGCUCUGUCCUAAGGGAAGAUAAUGACGGUACCUUAGGAGGAAGCCCCGGCUAACUACGUGCCAGCAGCCGCGGUAAAACGUAGGGGGCGAGCGUUGUCCGGAAUUACUGGGCGUAAAGGGUGCGUAGGCGGCUAUUUAAGUCAGAUGUGAAAGGCUACGGCUCAACCGUAGUGAGCAUUUGAAACUGAAUAGCUUGAGUCAAGGAGAGGGAAGUGGAAUUCCUGGUGUAGCGGUGAAAUGCGUAGAUAUCAGGAGGAAUACCAGUGGCGAAGGCGACUUCCUGGCCUUAGACUGACGCUGAGGCACGAAAGCGUGGGGAGCAAACAGGAUUAGAUACCCUGGUAGUCCACGCCGUAAACGAUGAGUGCUAGGUGUUGGGGAGGUUACUCUUCAGUGCCGCAGCUAACGCAAUAAGCACUCCGCCUGGGGAGUACGUACGCAAGUAUGAAACUCAAAGGAAUUGACGG
rnacentral:rRNA from 1 species